rnacentral:rRNA from 1 species
AUCGAACGCUGGCGGCAGGCCUAACACAUGCAAGUCGAGCGAGCGGCGGACAGUUGCGUAAUGUAUGGGGACUGCCCGAUAGAGGGGGAUCACUACUGGAAACGGUAGCUAAUACCGCAUACUAUCGGCUACCCCAUAUGGGAUUAGCUAGUCGGUGAGGUAAUGGCUCACCGGGGCGACGAUCCCUAGCUGGUCUGAGAGGAUGAUCAGCCACACUGGGACUGAGACACGGCCCGACGUCCUACGGGGGCAGCAGUGGGAAAUAUUGGACAAUGGGCGCAGGCCUGAUGCAGCCAUGCCGCGGGGAUGAAGAAGGCCCUAGGGUUGUAAAGUACUUUCAGUCGGGAGGCGGUACCGACAGAAGAAGCACCGGCUAACUCCGUGCCAGCAGCCGCGGUAAUUC